ensembl:lncRNA
GUGGCGCUGGGUCGGAGGACGGAGAGGUCAGGCGUGUGGUUCUAUGUGCUGUCGAGUGGAGGCCUUUUGCGUACAGUUUGGAAAAUUAGACCUCGGAGCCUUAACUCCUACUCACAAGAAGCACAGUAAAUUGAAAAACGUUUAGUGAAGCAAGAACUAUUUGAGAACUGUGAUUUCUUCUUGAGUCAGACCUGUUUCAGCUCUCCAACAUCUUCAAAUAAAGAAGUGGUUAUGAACAAUGAUCAGCAGAAUAAUGGAGGAAUGAAACCAGUGCAGGAUUUCACAAUAGGAAUCACACAGGAGCCACUCUAGGAUCAUCAUGAGUGAGAUGGAGAUGGUGGCAUCUAUUACUAGCAGCUAACAGGACUGGAGCACUUGGAAUUGGCCAGGCACCUUGUGAGGACUUCACAGAAUUCUAGUGGGUGAGUUCUGAGCGUGUAUCAUCCACCUUUUGGAGUCCUGCUCAGCAGAGCAUGUUAACAGCUUUCAUUGAAACCAGGACUGCUGGAGAAAGCUCUUGGGACAUCAGAAGCAUGGAGGCCAUUGAGCUGCUCCACCAGAGAUUCGGGUGGGCGCAACGUGGCUUUGCUUGGAGCUUCAGUUCAUUAGCUGGAGAGCCAAUUUGUGGGUAACUAAGCUAUUCUGAUUCCUUGGAAGAACUAGAGAACUUCUGUUAGAGUAACUGACCAGUCACAUUUAUAAAGUACAAUCCAAGAAAUGCACUUCAUUUCUUUAAAGUAUUUUCGGUAAUUUGUAACAGAUUAUCAGAAUAUUGUUAGAGAAAAAUCCUCUUGAAAACUUGCUUUACCGAGUAAAUUAGCUUAUAAAGUGUUUGUAAAUGAGUGCUUCUAAGGAACCUAAGCUUAUGAUGUUAGGAAAUAAAGAUACUUCUUUUAGCGAUCUUAUUAAUAUGGUUAAUUUUGUGAAUACUCCUUCCGUUUCUCCAUAAGUAGUAGGAAGAUAAACGAGCUCAGUCACUAACAUUUCUAUUUCUUGAUAAGUGGGACCAAAUUGAUGAAAUUAUAUUUGUGUGAUUUUUUUCAAAUUUGUAAUUGGACAUUUUAUAACCACCUACUUUGGCUUUUUUGUUUUUAUAAUGUAUAUUGAGGUGUUAUAACUUCAAGACAUUAUAAUGUCACAUAUCAGCGUCAUCCUUUAUAUAUUUAAAUUUCUCACAUUUUCCCAUUUCAAUUGUAUUUAGCUUUUCAUCAUUCUUAUUUUUCAACCUUUUUGAAAUUUAAAUGAAAUAUAAUAAACUGCACAUAUUUCAGGUAUACAAUUUGGUCAGUUUUGACAUACAUUUAUACCUGUGAAACCAUCAUCACAAGCAAGACAGCACACGUUUUCAUCACACUCAGAAGUUUCUUUGUGCCCCUUUGUAAUCCAUCCCUCUGCCAUUCCCACCUUUCUAGGUAACCACUGUUCUGCUUCCUAUUGUUAUAGAUUAGUUUGCAUUUUCUAGAAUUUUAUAUAACUAUAAUCAUAUAGUGUACGCUUUUUUUAGUUUAGCUUCCUUCACUUAGUAUAAUGAUUUUGAUAUUCUUCUACAUUAUUGCAUGUGUCAAAGGAGUAUUUCUUUUUACUGAUGAGUAGUAAGUAUUCCUUUGUAUGGAUAUAUCACAACUUAUUUAUCUUGAUGGAAAUUUGUUUUUCCUCCAGUUUUUAGAUAACUUUCCAAAUAAAGUUGCUGUAAAUAUUCAUGUACAAGUCUUUAUAGGAGCAUAUAUUUUCAUUUCUCUUAGGUGAAUACCUAGGAGUGGAAUGGCUAGAUCAUAUGGUAUGUGUAUGUUUAGCUUAUUAAGAAACUGCCAAAAGGUUUUUUAAAGUGGUUGUAGCGUUUACCUUUCUACCAGCGUUGUAUGAGAGUUCCAGCUACUUCACAUCCUUACUAACAUUAGGUAUGAUCAGUGUGGGACUACAGAGAAAAUAUUAUGUUUCUGUAUGGUUAGCAAUUUCUAAACAAAUUUUGCUCGGACCUGGGUUAAAAGAUAAGUCUUGGGGUUAGUAAGGGAUGUACCUCCUCACAGGAAUGUGAUUACAUGUCAAGGAGUAAUGAAACUCAGCACCAUUGACAUAUUCCAGGGCUUGGAAACCCAGAGAAGCUUCUUAUCGUCUCCUUGGAGACUUUAUUUACCUACAUGGGUAUUAGACAUGCACCCAUUUGUUUCCUUUAUGGUGAGCUGUUUGCUCCCAUCCAAAAGCUAUUAAAAUUCAUACACUUUUAUUUUUCCAAGGAAAAUUUCUGACACUAAAGAAGCACAUGUCUUUCUCCUUCUCUCAGGAGUUGAAGGAGGAACGACUGUCUCCUAUAUGAGUUCCCAGGUUCAUAAUUUUAGUGUUCCUUACCUGUGUUGUAAAUCCCAGUAUGUGUAGGAUGGCAUCUGGCUUUCAGCAGGGGAAGAAUUUGGCUAAAAGGGGAACCAAUGUGGUUAUUGCUCUGGGUUAGUGAUAAUCUAUCUCCCCUCCAGGAAAUCUUGUGUUAAUGUUCCAAAUAAUGUGAAUAAAUAUAGAUACUAAAAGCUU